AUUGAACGCUGGCGGCAGGCCUAACACAUGCAAGUCGAACGAGUGGCGGACGGGUGAGUAAUGUCUGGGAAACUGCCCGAUGGAGGGGGGUAACUACUGGAAACGGUAGCUAAUAACGCAUACCAUCGGAUGUGCCCAGAUGGGAUUAGCUAGUAGGUGGGGUAACGGCUCACCUAGGCGACGAUCCCUAGCUGGUCUGAGAGGAUGACCAGCGCCACUGGAAGUGUGACACGGUCGAGACUCCUACGAGAGGCAGCGGUGGGGAAUAUUGCACAAUGGGCGCAAGCCUGAUGCAGCAAUGCCGCGUGUAUGAAGAAGGCCUUCGGGUUGUAAAGUACUUUCAGCGAGGAGGCGUGACUCGCAGAAGAAGCACCGGCUAACUCCGUGCCAGCCGCCGCGGUAAUUG
rnacentral:rRNA from 1 species